UUCUAUUAGUAAAUUAAUCAAAUGAAGAAUCUUCAUGGUUAAAUGCAUAGAAGGGAUAUUUGAAGAGAGCCAAUGAUUGACAUAAGGAGAAGCAGUUAUGAAUUUUGAAAUUGAUAUAAAGGAGAGGUCAUUCAUCACAGAAGAUUUAAUCAAAGUUUACAGUAUGUUGAGAGAAGUUCAGAACAAGCAAUUUGGUUGAAGAGGAGUUGUCAACACGUCAUCUUUGAACAAGGUCAAUUGUAUUAGAAGUGAAUCCUUAACAGAAAUGAGACAAUAAUCAAAUAAUUCAAAGACUACAUGGAUGUUAUCUGGACUAGCAUUUGUAUAACCUAAAUGUGGUAUUUUUCAUAUGAACACUUACAAGGCAGAUAAUAGUCUGUGACAAACAUUUGUAUGCAAUUAAAGACUUGAAGAACUUGUACGGUAUUCUUUAAAACGGUACAUUCUUUGUAUGAAUUGAAGAAUUUUUGCUCAUUUAAAUGAAUUAUGAAAAUGUUUUAUAUGUUUAGAAUAAACAAAAACAACAUAAAAGAUAAGACAAAUUUUUAUUUUCUUUCUUGAAACUUAUAACAGAAUAAAUUGUCAUAUGCUAA